CUAGAGAUUAGAGUUUGAUCAUGGCUCAGGACGAACGCUGGCGGCGUGCUUAACACAUGCAAGUCGAACGCGAAAGUUCCCUUCGGGGGGCAAGUAGAGUGGCGCACGGGUGAGUAACACGUAGGUAAUCUACCUUUGGAUUGGGAAUAACCACCGGAAACGGUGGCUAAUACCGAAUAAUGCAGCGGCACCUAAUGGUGACAGUUGUUAAAGCGGGGGAUCGAAAGACCUCGCGUCUGAAGAGGAGCCUGCGGCAGAUUAGCUAGUUGGUAAGGUAACGGCUUACCAAGGCGAUGAUCUGUAGCCGGCCUGAGAGGGCGGUCGGCCACACUGACACUGACAUACGGGUCAGACUCCUACGGGAGGCAGCAGUCGGGAAUUUUGGGCAAUGGGCGAAAGCCUGACCCAGCAACGCCGCGUGAAGGAUGAAAUCCCUCGGGAUGUAAACUUCGCAAGAACGGGAAGAAUAAGUAAGAGUUAAUAUCUCUUACGAUGACGGUACUG
rnacentral:rRNA from 1 species